GAAAAGGCUCUGAAACAGAUCCAAGAUGUUGUUUGAGCCAUGCAACUAGAAGAUCUCAUAGAACUAAAGUUAUCUAAUUUACAGAAAAGGUUUUACGUGACGUCUAUUGUACAGAUUCAUAUGAAAACCAUAGUUCAAACUCCAAGGUUUAAGAAGUAAGAAAGAUCAUGCCAUUUGCAACAAACAUGCAUGCAUAUUUGAAAAGCAACUGUAAGUAUGCUAUUGGACAUUGGUAAAGAUUGAAUAUCUGACCAUGGCAUAUCAAGAAACCAUGGAAUGAGUACUGCUUAUCAAGAUCUGGGUGUGAGAAGACUUAAAAAGUCAGAUAGUCAGUGAGAACCAGCUAGAAUCCAUGAAAUUGUGACCAAUAAGAAUCCCAGAGAAGUUCUGCCCUAAUGGAGUCAACUUGAUUUGAGAUGCAAAUAGAUUUGCGCAAUUGAAAAAGUGGGAAGAUGAAGUGUUUGGAGGGCUUUUAAAUGGAGUAAAAUGGAAACAAAGACAAGUUAUCCCAACACCAAAAAGAGUAGGGGAUAGAAGGAUAUGUCAAGGUUUGAAAACCAUCCUUCAGAAAUGCAGGAAAGUCAAAGCUAGAAAUUUCUUUUAUGGUACCCAGGAUUUGUUUUAAUUAAGUUUGAUAAGGCACACAGGCACGAACGUGAUUGUGGUUAAUAAAGGCAUUUGCAUUAUUCUCACGGUCUCCUAAAAAUAGAAGGCCCAGCACACUAUGCCUGGGAAGUAUCUGCAUGAGAUGAGCAGGCAGAGAGGAGAGCUGAGGGCAGGGCCUUGACUGGAGUUUUUGUUGGGAGGAAUGGACAAUGGAAAGCACGCAAGCCAAAUCUGUUGUGGGAAAACUAGAAGACCAAAAAAAGCACGAAAGUCAAGAAAGAAGUCUCUUUUCACAUGAAAGUGGCCUGAAGACAAAUACUGCUAUGAAUGGUUACAUCUAGGACUUCUGAAAUUAGCCCCAGAUUCAACUCAUUUUUUUCUGCAUUUGCUGAGCAAUAUGACAUGUUUACACCGAUUAGCUAAAAAGUUAUGUGAAGAAUGGGCAACAAUAUCUCUAAGUAACUAGGAGACCAUGUCCCUUGGCAUAAGUAUUGAUCUUCAAUAAUUUGUCCUUGAUAUUGAGAGAAGAGGAUCAAACUAUUUGAACCGGAUUGCUGUACUUCAACAUGUAAAGUGAAAAUGCAGACCCAGUUGACUAUAUUUCACUCAUUUGGGCCAAAGAAGCAGAAGUUUAUUAACAAAGAAGGAGAAUAACAAAAGAAAUAUAAGAUGGAAAGAAAAGCAAAAAGAAAGAAAACUAAAGAAAAAGCAAAAGAAAGAAUACUAAAUCUGAAAUACAUUUUCGUCCCCAAAUCAAGUUGGUGCAUAAAGUUCAAAUGUUUUCCUGA
rnacentral:lncRNA from 1 species